rnacentral:rRNA from 1 species
AGGUUACUGCUAUCGAGGUUCGACUAAGCCAUGCGAGUCGAAUGUAACAAUACAUGGCGUACUGCUCAGUAACACGUGGACAACCUACCCUUAGGACGGGGAUAAACCCGGGAAACUGGGUAUAAUACCCGAUAGUCCUCGAAUGCUGGAAUGCGUCGCGGACUAAAGCUCCGGCGCCUAAGGAUGGGUCUGCGGCCUAUCAGGUAGUAGUGGGUGUAGCGUACCUACUAGCCUACGACGGGUACGGGUUGUGAGAGCAAGGGCCCGGAGAUGGAUUCUGAGACACGAAUCCAGGCCCUACGGGGUGCAGCAGGCGCGAAAACUUUACAAUGCUGGAAACAGCGAUAAGGGGACCUCGAGUGCCAGGUUACAAAUCUGGCUGUCGUGAUGCCUAAAAAGCAUUGCAUAGCAAGGGCCGGGCAAGACCGGUGCCAGCCGCCGCGGUAACACCGGCGGCUCGAGUGGUAACCGUUAUUAUUGGGUCUAAAGGGUCUGUAGCCGGCCGGAUAAGUCUCUUGGGAAAUCUGGCAGCUUAACUGUCAGGCUUUCAGGAGAUACUGUCUGGCUCGAGGCCGGGAGAGGUGAGAGGUACUUCAGGGGUAGGGGUGAAAUCUUGUAAUCCUUGAAGGACCACCAGUGGCGAAGGCGUCUCACCAGAACGGACCUGACGGCAAGGGACGAAAGCUAGGGGCACGAACCGGAUUAGAUACCCGGGUAGUCCUAGCCGUAAACGUUACUCGCUAGGUGUCGGCCACGGUGCGGCCGUUGUCGGUGCCGUAGGGAAGCCGUGAAGCGAGCCACCUGGGAAGUACGGCCGCAAGGCUGAAACUUAA